AACGACUCUCGGCAACGGAUAUCUCGGCUCUCGCAUCGAUGAAGAACGCAGCAAAAUGCGAUACUUGGUGUGAAUUGCAGAAUCCCGUGAAUCAUCGAGUUUUUGAACGCAAGUUGCGCCCGAAGCCUUCCGGCCGAGGGCACGUCUGCCUGGGUGUCACGC
rnacentral:rRNA from 3 species